rnacentral:rRNA from 1 species
UACGUAGGGUGCAAGCGUUGUCCGGAAUUAUUGGGCGUAAAGAGCUCGUAGGCGGUGUGUCGCGUCGGCCGUGAAAACCCGCAGCUCAACUGUGGGCUUGCAGCUGAUACGGGCGGGCUGGAGUUCGGUAGGGGAGACUGGAAUUCCUGGUGUAGCGGUGAAAUGCGCAGAUAUCAGGAGGAACACCGGUGGCGAAGGCGGUUCUCUGGGCAUUACCUGACGCUGAGGAGCGAAAGUGUGGGGAGCGAACAGG